GUACAGGUUGGUUGAGAGACUGUAGGAAUGUUUUCAAAGCGUGCGGCGAGAUUCGUGUGCUGAGACAGACUGCCAGGUUUAUGAAAGCUAAUAUUUCAUAAAGGGCUCGCUGCCAGCUCGCUGUUGAGAUGUGGGAGAGAGUGAUGUGGCGGGACCAGCCUUCAGGGGAUCCAACAGCCAUGCCGGAGUGAGGGAUCCAGAGAGAGGCACAUCGACAGGCGGAGCGCCCCCUUCUGUGCUGGGACUGCAGCACCGAACAGCUGAGGCCUGCUUUCUAAACCACCUGCGGUCUGCAACACCAAGCGGGGGAAGUGGGGGCUGUGGACCGGGGGGGGGGGCCCGUUGGCUUGGCUCUGACACCCCACAGUGAGGCAGGCAGCCUCAGCUCCCUCAAGCCUGGCACCCCGUCUUCGGGAUAGAUCGCUGGCACGGGCGCCGGAUUCGUCCGCACCAGUCUAUCCGUGCAAGCUGAAACCGUAAAGAGACACUCGGAUGCGGCCGUCCCUCUCCUCGUGUCUCCAUCUCUCUGCUUUCCCCUCGUGUGACCACAACAAAGAUGCUCGGAUCCAGAGAAAAUGGAUGUUUUAACAAAGUUUGUUUCAAACCCGGCACGUUAGCCCUCCCCUUCUGCCUUCUCAACCUGGGCCACAGCUGCACAGCCGGGAAUAUUUCUCAGCGACGGGAGAGGAGUGUGUCACCCAUGCAACGGAUCACUGUUGCAGGAUGAGACCGCCCAAGGAGAGCCCCGGCAGGGAGUCGGGGGAUGAGGCCCCGGGGCAAAGGUCUGGAGGGGGCGGCGAGGAGGGCGAGGGGGCCGACAGCGACAGCCAGCCUGAAAGCUGCCCCGCUUUGAAUGAGUGUGGCCCAGCGGAAAGCAAGAGGAGGAGGAAGAAGAAGAAGAAAAGAUGAUUGUGGAUCAACCUCACCAACUGCAAGUAUGAAAGUGGUGAGUAACAAUGGAGGAGGGUUUGGGCAAUCAGCUCCCUGUAGGUACCCAAAGUGCUUCUUGAGAUCCAUUUCCUUUGCUUUGACAUACCAGGGGGCUUACUGUAAUAGGGAGUGGUGGAUAAACAUCUCACCCUGCUCAAGGUGAGGCACGUGCAGGUCCUCGAGAUAGGACUGGGCAGGUCUGGUUUCUUUGGGUUUGAUUCUGGAGUAGCAUAUCUGUUAAUACUAGCACAGUUGUUUUAAUCGCUGAUUAAGCCACCCUGAUCUGCAAGUAAUGUAAUUAGUUGGGCAAAUAGAUAGCCCUCACAGCUCUUGUCAGGCCAGGUGUGACUCUGCCUCCGGUCAGGGGGUGUCGUUACCAGUGAACACAGCACGUUUCCAUAUGAUUAACACCUGUAUCGCCUGUGCUGGUUGGAUGCAGCCUGACAGGACAAUAGCACAAGAAUUGGGCUUUCAUCAUUAUCCCUUCAACAAUAACAUUAAACUCAAGUGUUUUCUUUUCAUUGCUGUUUACUCAAGUCUUGAUUCCUUAAGGCAGUGCCAAGAUUAAAUUGCAUUCCAGGUUCGGUAAAACCAUUUGGUUUCUCAUCCUGACUCUGCACUCCUGUUAAAUUUCUUUUGGCAGGGGCAUAUUGAUUUGGCAUUGCUCCCAAAUGGAGAGUGAAAAA